CCAUAAAACAAAAUUUUACUAUGUAUCUGGUACUAAGUUACUAAUACCGUAAUAGUAUCAAUUUUUUAACCUUCAUACUUAGAAAUUGUGCCCCAAAGUGUGUCCGAGACGUAUAAAUAGGAACCAGAACUGUACGACAUGCAUUCUCUUACCAUAACAUGAUUAACUUGAGACCAUCGUCUCUUCGACUAGCUUCAUCACUUCUUCACUCUCUUCCAAACCCUAACCCAUUACACUCACAUCAUCUAGACACACGACAACUUCGCUCUACUUGCUCGGACUCCCAAAAACACGCGCAUGCUCUCAACCUGUUUGAUCAAAUGCUCCAGACACAACCCCUUCCUUCUAUCAAAGACUUCACUAAAUUCUUAAACAUACUUGGAGAUUUGACUAUGCAUUUUCGCUGCUGAGUGGGGUUAUUAAGCGUGGGUUUGGCCCGGAUGUUGUUACUUAUACGACGCUUGUGAGGGGGUUGAUUAGGGGAGAUAUGGGCGUGGAGGCGGAGGGGUUGGUUAGGAAGUUAGUUAGGUGGAAUGAGGUUGAGUUUGAUGUCGUUAUGUAUAGUACGAUUGUCUAUGGACUUUGUAGAGAAGGUGAGGUUUACGCGGCGAUUGAGUGUCUUAGGUUUAUGGAAAAGGAGAAUUGUGAAGCUAAUGCGAUAACUUAUAAUACGAUUAUUGAUGGUUUGUGUAAGAGGGGACUUGUUGAUGGUGCGUUGGACCUUUUUUCUGAAAUGAAGAAGAAAGGUGUGGGAGUGACGGUUGUAACUUACACUUCGUUGAUUCAUGGUUUGUUCAAGUCGGGGCAAUGGGAGGAUGCUAUCUUAUUGUUUGAUUCGAUGGAUGUUUCUCCGGAUGUGUAUACUUAUAGUGUAUUGGUUAAUGGGUAUGGGAAGAGAAAGAUGGUAGAAGAGGCUAGGAAUAUUGUCUUGAGAAUGAUUAAAAUGGACGAAUAUCCUAAUAUAGUCACGUAUACUACACUCAUGCAAGCAUAUUGUUUACAAGGAAAUAUGGAUCAAGCAUUGACCGUGCUCAUCUGUAUGAUGAAUAGCAUGAUAAUUCCUAAUUGUUGGAGUUAUAAUGUUUUGAUGGAUGGUUAUUGCAAGAAAUUGGAAGUUCAUAACGCUUUGAAUCUUUUAAGGAAUAUGGCCCGCGAAGGCUUGGAACCCACAAAUGAGAGUUACAGCAUUUUGUUACAUGGCCUAUGUCAGAUGGGUAAAUUUUCUCAAGCACUUAACUUGUUUUAUGAUAUGCAAGCUCAAGGGUAUAAACCAAAUAUUGUGACUUAUGGUACCCUGAUAAAUGAUCUUUGCAAGAACAAAUACAUAUUUAAAGCACUCUCAUUGUUUCAUGAUAUGCUAUGUAAUGGUUUAAUUCCCAACAGCAUUAUAUAUGAUAUCCUUCUUCGUGGAUGUUAUCGGAAUAAUAUGUAUAGUGAAGCAUAUGUACUCUUGGGCACUAUGAUUGUUCAUGGCAUCUCAGCAGAUGCAUCUACCACUUCAUUUUUACGACGUCUACUCUCCUAGAAAAGUAAAGGACCUGACUCUCCUUGCUAUGCUUCUGCCUUCAGAAAGUGCUUGCAGUUAGAUUGGUAACUUCUUUUUUUGUUAUUAUCCUAAUACUACUACACAAGCUCCAAGCAAGUGAUUUUUAUUCUAUACUGUAUCAAGAGUUACACACACAUAUCAGCAAACAUUAGAGGACAUAUUUUUUCUCUUUUUCCUCAAUAGGAUAGGAAAAUUGUAAGAUAGUUUAAAAGUCUUGUGUUCUGUUCUGUGAUAGUGGCUUUAACCAUGAUUUGCAUCUUGUAACCAUGAUGUACCUUCUGACCCCUCUUUUUAUUCUUGGACAGAUGUUACUUUAGAUUUGAGUUUUCUUUUGCUAUGGAGAUGGUUAGAACUUAGGAGAAUAAAAUGCCUUACAUAAAUUGCUGUAAAUAGUGUGUGCAUUUUCUACUUUUGACUUUCGUCUCUCUAUUAAACAAAGUUGGUAAUAACUAAAGACGUGGGCUAACAAUGCUAUAGACAAAGCAGUCUUUUUGCGCAGCUUAGUGAUGAACAUGUUCAUAUAUAUGUUUAUGGUCAUUCUCAGUACUUCAUUAGGAAAAUGAUUGUUCAUUGAACACUUCAUUAUUCUGAAUCAAUGUUAAAGCCCGUAAUUUUGUUGAAACCGUAUCUGCUGGCAGCCUUGCAUGUUUCUUGAAUGAAAACAUCACAAUAUCAUGUUAUAGUAGUAAACAAUUUGUGGUUCUUCUAUCACACCUGACAGGAUUAAUGACUUCUUAUUAUAAUGAAAUCACUUGUAAAAUUACCAUUCAAACAAGUUAUAACUGAGAUUUUUAAUGAAUGAUUGAUUUUGGAAGUGUGGAUUUUAAUUUAUUUUUGUAAAAGUUGCUUAGGAUUGUUGUUGUUUAUGCUAGCACAGCACAGUAACUUAACACAUAUCUAACGGCAAUAUUGAAUGAAAAGAUGUAAAGUUGGCAUGGUUCAAGGACAGAGACAGAAGUACAUUCAAACUAUAGCAAAACAUAGGUUUUUUGCUGAGAGUCCAUAUCUUCAGGUUAGGGAACUGCAACAUCUUCUUUCUUUAUCUGCAAGAAACCUAUAUGUUUUGUGGGGAAACACGAUUAUAAGAAAUUGUUGUCUCUGGGGAAGUUCUUUCUUGCAUCAAUGACUAGUAUGAUAUUUUAUAUAUAAUACUGGCUCCGUUUGUUAUAUAUGACUAUAAUGACAAAAUUUAUGGUCUGUUACAGGAACAAGAGACCGAAAAUGACACAGACGGUGAUCCUGCAAGGGUUUUUUCGUGGGCUGUUAGGGUACGCCAAGCACCCAAAUACACGGAACAUGAAUGUACAUGAGACGAACGAUUUGCCAGGUCUAUGUGUAGCAAUCUUUCACUUUAAAAUCCAAAGGGAACUUGCAUUAGUGAUCAGACAAUCACACAAUCGCAAUCCGAACAAUGUAAAGCAUGUCUGACAUUAGAGAUAAUCCUCCUUGCAUAAGCCAUGAAAUCAGCAUUUAGCAACACUAUCAUCUUAAAAUGGAGUAAUGGACAUAUUGUGCUGGAAAUUAUAACGGAUGGUUGGUGUCACCUGACUAGCAAAAUAGGGCACUUAACCCUGGCCACCUCAGAAAACCAGUGUUACAAGAGAAUCCUAUUUUAUCUUUUUUAGUAACUUGUACUGCAUUCCUUUUCCUCCCAAGUCAAUUGCUUAUACUAUUAUACAUGACACAUAAGUAGCAGUUUGAAACAUUAUUUAUUUUCCAGCCAGAACUUUUAUUAUACAAUUAUCUAUUUAUCUCA